GCCACAGCCACCGCAGCCGAGGAAGUUGACUGACGCCGCUUCCUUCCACCCACCUUCAGACCCUAGCACCCCGACUUUAACUGCAACUCCCCCAGGGGCUUGAGGCAGCGAACGAUGCGAAGCUGAUCCCAACACUGGCCUUCUUUUUUCUCACUGCCCUGCGGUGAACAUUCAUGGUAGCCCGAGAAAAAAAGGCGCUGCAUCCCAAGAAGGCCCUGCAAACACACUUCACAGCCCCUGUGCAAGACUCAUACUUCUGCUGGGAUUGCAUCACACACGUAACUCGGCUGUCCCAAGCAGACCCAUGUAACCUCCAUCCACUAUCCCUCACAGUGCCAAAAAGUGGUGUGCCUGUUUCUAGUGGAGGAGAGCCAACAGUCUUAACUCAAGUGUGAAGCUAAUGUGUAACCAAACCAGCCAGCACAGCAAGAUACCCAAGAAGUGAAACAUGAAGAUCACUUUAACCCAAGAACUCAGGACUGGCAGUCAACAAGAAAGAUUGAACACUAAGUUUCUGUUUGAAGGACCAGUUCAUCACACAACUGGAAGAGCCUUGAAUACAUUGUGGGGAAAAUUCUAGACUGUUAUUAUUCUAUUCAUUAAAAAAGUAUUUAGAGUUGGC